UGGAGGCAGCAGUGAGGAAUAUUGGGCAAUGCCCGCAAGGGUGACCCAGCAACGCCGCGUGGAGGAUGAAUGCCGUAAGGUUGUAAACUCCUGUGAGAAGGGAUGAAAAUGUGGGUUCGAAGCCCACUUUGACCGUACCUUCAGAGGAAACCCCGGCUAACUACGUGCCAGCAGCCGCGGUAAUACGUAGGGGGUUAGCGUUGUCCGGAUUUACUGGGUGUAAAGGGCGCGUAGGCGGGUCUGUAAGUCAGAGGUGAAAUCCUACAGCUUAACUGUAGAGCUGCCUUUGAUACUGCGGAUCUUGAGUUCAGAAGAGAGAGAUGGAAUUCCAGGUGUAGUGGUGAAAUACGUAGAUAUCUGGAAGAACACCAGUGGCGAAGGCGAUCUCUUGGUCUGACACUGACGCUGAGGCGCGAAAGCGUGGGUAGCAAACAGGAUUAGAUACCCCGGU
rnacentral:rRNA from 1 species